rnacentral:rRNA from 1 species
GCAAGUUGAACGGUAACAGAGGUGCUUGCACCUGCUGACGAGUAGCGAAAGGGUGAGUAGCCCGUGAGUAACCUGCCUUAAAGUCGGGGAUAGCCCUUGGAAACGAGGAUUAAUACCGGAUGUGGUUAACAGAUCGCAUGAUCUAUUAACUAAAAUCUUUUUGCUUUAAGAUGGGCUCGCGUAUCAUCAGCUAGUUGGUAAGGUAACGGCUUACCAAGGCGACGACGAUUAGGUGGUCUGAGAGGACGAUC